CCUACGGGUGGCAGCAGUGAGGAAUAUUGGUCAAUGGACGAGAGUCUGAACCAGCCAAGUAGCGUGAAGGAUGACUGCCCUAUGGGUUGUAAACUUCUUUUAUAUGGGAAUAAAAUGUUCCACGUGUGGGAUUUUGUAUGUACCAUAUGAAUAAGGAUCGGCUAACUCCGUGCCAGCAGCCGCGGUAAUACGGAGGAUCCGAGCGUUAUCCGGAUUUAGUGGGUUUAAAGGGAGCGUAGGUGGGUUGUUAAGUCAGUUGUGAAAGUUUGGGGCUCAACCGUAAGAUUGCAGUGGAAACUGGCAGUCUUGAGUACAGUAGAGGUGGGCGGAAUUCGUGGUGUAGCGGUGAAAUGCUUAGAUAUCACGAAGAACUCCGAUUGCGAAGGCAGCGCACUGGACUGCAACUGACGCUGAGGCUCGAAAGUGUGGGUAUCAAACAGGAUUAGAUACCCCGGUAGUC
rnacentral:rRNA from 1 species